AGUGAACGCUGGCGGUAGGCCUAACACAUGCAAGUCGAACGGCAGCACAGUAAGAGCUUGCUCUUACGGGUGGCGAGUGGCGGACGGGUGAGGAAUACAUCGGAAUCUACUUUUUCGUGGGGGAUAACGUAGGGAAACUUACGCUAAUACCGCAUACGACCUACGGGUGAAAGCAGGGGAUCUUCGGACCUUGCGCGAUUGAAUGAGCCGAUGUCGGAUUAGCUAGUUGGCGGGGUAAAGGCCCACCAAGGCGACGAUCCGUAGCUGGUCUGAGAGGAUGAGUAGGCAAACUGGAAAUGGGAAAAGGGCCAGAAUCCUACGGGGGGCAGCAGUGGGGAAUAUUGGACAAUGGGCGCAAGCCUGAUCCAGCCAUACCGCGUGGGUGAAGAAGGCCUUCGGGUUGUAAAGCCCUUUUGUUGGGAAAGAAAAGCAGCAGGUUAAUACCCCGCUGUUCUGACGGUACCCAAAGAAUAAGCACCGGCUAACUUCGUG
rnacentral:rRNA from 1 species